rnacentral:tRNA from 1 species
UGGACUAUGGUGUAAUGGUAGCACAACAGGUUUUGGUUCUGUUUGUCCAAGUUCGAAUCAGUUCGAAUCUUGGUAGUCCAACCA